UGGGGAAUAUUGCACAAUGGGGGAAACCCUGAUGCAGCGACGCCGCGUGAGCGAUGAAGGCUUUCGAGUCGUAAAGCUCUGUCCUAUGGGAAGAUAAUGACGGUACCAUAGAAGAAAGCCCCGGCUAAUUACGUGCCAGCAGCCGCGGUAAUACGUAAGGGGCGAGCGUUGUCCGGAAUUAUUGGGCGUAAAGAGUGCGUAGGCGGCAAAUUAAGUCAGAUGUGAAAACUAAGGGCUCAACCCAUAGAUUGCAUCUGAAACUGAUAUGCUUGAGUCAAGGAGAGGAAAGUGGAAUUCCUAGUGUAGCGGUGGAAUGCGUAGAUAUUAGGAGGAAUACCGGUGGCGAAGGCGACUUUCUGGACUGCAACUGACACUGAGGCACGAAAGCGUGGGUAGCAAACAGG
rnacentral:rRNA from 1 species